rnacentral:rRNA from 1 species
CCCUAGUAACGGCGAGUGAAGCGGGAAUAGCUCAAAUUUGAAAUCCUGUGGNUUCUACCCAUAAGAAUUGUAGUUUAGAGAAGCGUUUUCGGGUGGGACAUGAGCAUAAGUCCUUUGGAAGGAGGCAUCAUAGAGGGUGAGAAUCCCGUCCUUGGCUCAUUGUUCCCGCCUAUGUGAUACGUUUUCCACGAGUCGGUUUGUUUGGGAAUGCANACCAAAAUGGGUGGUAAAUACCAUCUAAAGCUAAAUACUGGCGAGAGACCGAUAGCGAGCAAGUACCGUGAGGGAAAGAUGAAAAGAACUUUGAAAAGAGAGUUAAGCAGUACGUGAAAUUGUCAAAAGGGAAACGUUUGAAACCAGUAUUGCGUGCAGAUAAUCAGCCAUUCUAUUUUGCGUGGUGCACUUGUCUGCAUGCGGGUCAACAUCAGUUUGAUUUGGGGUAAAAAGCUAGAGGAAGGUAGCCCAGGGCUUGCUCUGGGUGUUAUAGCCUCUGGUCCUGCCUUGGAUUGNACUGAGGUCUGCAGCGCCUUUUUGGAAUUCCGGUCGCCUCUCGAAACCAUUGGUCAGACAGCUUGCUGACUGUUCGAUGACGUAGGGAGCUCGGUCGGUUCUUCACACCAGCGCUUGGGAUGUUGACGAAAUGGUUUUAAGCGACCCGUCUUGAAACACGGACCAAGGAGUCUAACAUAUUUGCGAGUAUUUGGGUGGCAAACCCUUAUGCGAAAUGAAAGUGAACUUAGGUGGGAUCCUCGGAGCACCAUCGACCGGUCUGGAUAUUUUUUGAUAGAUCUGAGUAAGAGCACAUAUGUUGGGACCCGAAAGAUGGUGAACUAUGCCUGAAUA